rnacentral:rRNA from 1 species
UACGACUACAUAUCAGGCAUAUCAAUAAGCGGAGGAAAAGAAACUAACAAGGAUUCCCUUAGUAACGGCGAGUGAAGCGGGAAGAGCUCAAAUUUGAAAUCUUCAAGGUUCUACCUUGACGAAUUGUAGUUUAAAGAAGUGCUUUCUGUUGAAGUCUCGGUAAAAGUUCUUUGGAAUAGGACAUCAUAGAGGGUGAGAAUCCCGCAUUUGACCAUUAUUUCAGCUGUGUGAUACACUUUCAAAGAGUCGGAUUGUUUGGGAAUGCAGUCCAAACUGGGUGGUAAAUUUCAUCUAAAGCUAAAUAUUGGCGAGAGACCGAUAGCGAACAAGUACCGUGAGGGAAAGAUGAAAAGAACUUUGAAAAGAGAGUUAAACAGUACGUGAAAUUGUCAAAAGGGAAGCGUUUGACACCAGUGUUGUUUUCUCGAAAAUCAAUUAAAAAGUAUGGGAUUUUGUAUUGUUAAGACCUUAUCAGCUUACGGUACUUUUUUCUUAUUCUUUUUAAUGCACUUCUCGUUUAACAAGUCAACAUCAAUUUCUUUUGUUGUAAAAGAGUCAUUGGAAGGUGGCUUUCACUUCGGUGAAAGUGUUUAUAGCCUUUGGCUUCUGCAAUCGGAGAGAUUGAGGUCUGCAGCGUAGAUCCUUCGGGGUUAGAUACAUUAGAUGCUAAGUUAUAGCUUUUCAUAGACAACUUGUUGACUAUGAUUAAGUCAUGUAGCUUACUCGCUUAUGCGCUAUUUUACCUACGCUUAGGAUGUUGAAUCUGUGCGAGACUAC